CCCCUGGAGGUCCAGUGGUUAGGACUUGGUGCUUUCACUCCCAAUGGUCUGGGUUCAAUCCCUGGCUGGGGAA
rnacentral:tRNA from 1 species